CUUACACUAAGUCAAAGAAUUCUCAGCUUUGCACACUGACCUGCUAGCAAGGAGCUAGUGGUGCACAAGGAGCUGAGAGGAGACAGAACCAGGGGAGCUAGCUAACCUUGCCAAAAGAAAGAUGAUCUCCUUGGCCCAAAUUGAGAAGAGGCAGUUUGGUAGCUUUGCUGGCAGUAAAGAAAAAGCAGAGCCAAGAGAUAUGAUGUUAGAUGUGCUGGAGAGAAAUCUGAACCAGGAAGCAGGAAAUUCUGGAUGUAUAACUUGCUUCCUGAGGUAUUCCUUGUGAUAAGACUCUAGGAGAUGAGAAGUGGGCGCUGCCAUGUGGCAAUCAACAUCCCUGUCUGGAUAAUUUACAUUUGAAAGCAUUUCUUUGGAGCUGUUUGCUUUUGGAAGGGAGUGCCCAGGACUUUUUACUGGACUGUUUACUGGCGGAAGAUCUGUCCUGUGACCAAAUUACUCCUGUUUGCUAUGGGACAUUAGGGGAUACCAUGGUAGAAGCUGUCACUCCAAAAGGCUGACUCAACCACUUUGGACUUAUAAAUAAGUUUGUACUGCCAUCGCAAUCAUUGUCGUUGUUCUUGCCAUGGUCGCUGUCGUCACCAACGGAACAACACCCAAUGACCCACCUCUACUGAAGAUCGACAACUGAACCAUGAACCACGCUGGAUCCAUGGUGGUGACUAUCUCCCUCUUGCUUCCUAUAGAGACUCCUUGCUCCUAUUUCCUAUCUUUUCUACUGCCCUUCUUCUCUUCCCCAUCACCCUAAUUUGCACCUAUCAAGACUCCUUGCUUCUAUUUUCUAUCUUUUCUAUCAUUCCCCUUCCCUUCCGCAUUACCCCAAUCUGUAAUUGUGUCUGUCCUCCCCUUCUCCAUCUCCCUUAUUAAGAUUUGUA
ensembl:lncRNA